rnacentral:rRNA from 1 species
UACGUAGGGUCCGAGCGUUUGUCCGGAAUUAUUGGGCGUAAAGCGCGCGCAGGCGGUCCUUUAAGUCUGAUGUGAAAGCCCACGGCUCAACCGUGGAGGGUCAUUGGAAACUGGGGGGACUUGAGUGCAGAAGAGGAGAGUGGAAUUCCACGUGUAGCGGUGAAAUGCGUAGAGAUGUGGAGGAACACCGGUGGCGAAGGCGGCAUCCUGGACCAACACUGACGCUGAGGAGCGAAAGCCAGGGGAGCAAACGGGG